rnacentral:rRNA from 1 species
CCUACGGGAGGCAGCAGUAAGGAAUAUUGGACAAUGCUCGCAAGAGUGAUCCAGCCAUGCCGCGUGCAGGAAGAAUGCCCUAUGGGUAGUAAACUGCUUUUGAACUAGAGAAAAUCCCAGUACGUGUACUGGGCUGAUAGUAUAGUUAGAAUAAGCAUCGGCUAACUUCGUGCCAGCAGCCGCGGUAAGACGAAGGAUGCAAGCGUUAUCCGGAUUCAUUGGGUUUAAAGGGAGCGUAGGUGGACUGAUAAGUCAGUGGUGAAAUCUCCGAGCUUAACUCGGAAAUUGCCAUUGAUACUGUUGGUCUUGAGUACAGUUGCUGUGGGCGGAAUAUGACAUGUAGUGGUGAAAUACAUAGAGAUGUCAUAGAACACCGAUUGCGAAGGCAGCUCACAAAGCUGUAACUGACACUGAGGCUCGAAAGUGCGGGGAUCAAGCAGGAUUAGAUACCCUGGUAGUCCGCACCGUAAACGAUGAUUACUCGCUGCUAGGGGGCAACCUUUAGUGGCUUAGCGAAAGCGAUAAGUAAUCCACCGUGGGAGUACGCCGGCGACGGUGAAACGUUAAAGGAAUUGAGGCUUGGAGACGNGCGAGGACGACGACGAGGGAGGAGG